CCCCUGGUGGCAAAAAUGGUUAAGCGCUUGGCUGUUAACCGAGAAGUUUGUGAUUCAAGUCCAACCAGAGGC
rnacentral:tRNA from 1 species